rnacentral:tRNA from 1 species
GCGGGUAUCGUAUAUUGGUAUUACACCUCGUUGCCAACGAGGCGAGAGGGGUUCGAUUCCCCUUACCCGCU